GCGGUAGAAAGUCCUCGAAACUGGAUAAAUGACAAAUUGGGACUUUGAGAGCGGCGGAGCCUAGGAAUCUGCAACUGUGGUAGUGGGGGAUAACGUUCGGAAACGGACGGAAUACGUACGUCCUACGGGAGAAAGCAGGGGUGACUUGCGCUAUCAGAUGAACUUAAAUUAGCUAGUUGGUGAGGUAAUGCGGGAAUUCAGGGCUCACCACCGAAUAACUGGCUGUCCCUGAGAGGAUGAUCAGUCACACUGGAACUGAGACCCACGGUCGCAGACUCCUAGGCAGCAGUGGGGAAUAUUGGACCAGUUUAAAGCCUACGCAAUGGGCGAAAGCCUGAUCCAGCCAUGCCAAGGUCUUCGGCCAGUAGCGUAUUGUAAGUUGGGAGGAAGGGUUGUAGAUUAAUACUCUGCAAUUUUGACAGAAUAAGCACCGGCUAACUCUGGCGUGUGUGAAGUGCCAGGCCCGUAGGUAAUACAGAGGGUGCAAGCGAACGUAUCGGAAUUACUGGGCGUAAAGCGAACUGGCGCGUAAAGUUGGAUGUGAAAUCCCCGGGCUCAACCUGGGAACUGCAUUCAAAACUGACUGACUAGAGUAUGGUAAAGGGUGGUGAAAUUUCCUGUGUAGCGGUGAAGGUCGACUUGACGAAUGCGUAGAUAUAGGAAGGAACCGAAGGCCCGUUAUUGCAGACCACCUGGACUGCGACCAGUGGGAGCAAACAGGAUUAGAUACCCUGGUAGUCCCGUAGAACUAAACGAUGUCAACUAGCCGUUGGAAGCCUUGAGCUUUUAGUGAACUGACUAGCGCAGCUAACGCAUUAAGUUGACCGCCUGGGGAGUCAAUUAAAACUCAAUGAAUUGCCCGCACCCAGUAACCCCGUAAGCGGUGGAGCAUGUGGUUUAAAUCGAAGCAAAGAACCUUACCAGGCCUCCAGUAGAUGAACUUUCUAGAGAGUGCCUCCCGUUGGACCAGUUCGGGAACAACAGGAACUGCAUGGCUGUCGUCAUUGGGUUAAGUCCCGUAACGAGCGCAACCGGUUGAGACGCGCCAGUCUUGUCCUUAGUUACCAGCACGUUAUGGUGGGCACUCUACGGAGACUGCCGGUGACAAACCGGAGGAAGGUGGGCCAAUGCCCAAGUCAUCAUGGCCCUUACGGCCUGGCCCACACACGUGCUACAAUGGUCGGUACAGAGGGUUGCCAAGCCGCGAGGUGGAGCUAAUCCCAUAAAACCGAUCGUAGUCCGGAUCGCAGUCUGCAACUCGACUGCGUGAAGUCGGAAUCCUAGUAAUCGCCCGUAGAAUAUGUCGCGGUGAAUACGUUCCCGGGCCUUGUACACACCCCGAUAACUUAGAGGGGAGUGGGUUGCACCGUUUAUAGCUAGUCUAACCUUCUGGGAGGACGGUACCACGGU
rnacentral:rRNA from 1 species